CCGUCGCUGAAAUGUACAUCAAGGGGAACUCAUUGUCUGUGUCUGACAAAGACAGCAGAAAAUAUCAUGAUCAGUCAUAAAAGGUUUGGUUCAUAACAUGCUAGCAUGGGAACUCUAUGAUGAGUUACAAACAGGUCUUACCGUCCUCCAGAUUUAGUCCUGUGCCGGGAGAGGAUUGAGAUGACAUGCGAUCAAGUUGUUCUCCAUCUGGACGGUUAAGUCUGAAGUACAGGGAUUUCUGACACUGUGCUGGCUUUCAGCAGCAUGCUAAAGCUGCUAACAGGGCUGUGUAGAGUCCUCAUGGCAACAGGUGGCCAAUGAGGGCUGCUGUCAGUGCAUUGUGGGCUGGCCAUGGACAGUAAAUCAGAUUACAGUGUAGAGGUGGUCCAAGCAGAAAGGAGGCUAUAUAAGGUGAAGUCCAUCUGUUCAAGCCUUGUCCAAACUGAAUAAACUGACGAUAACACUGGAAAAAAUA